ensembl:snRNA U6 U6 spliceosomal RNA
GUUCUGGCUUGGGCAGCACAUAUACUAAAAUUGGAAUGGUAUGGAGGAAAUUAGCAUGGCCCCUGUGCAAGGAAGACAAUACAAAUUGUGAAGUAUUCUGUAUUUAA